GGGUUGUUGCUGGCCCCAAAAGGGGCACGUGCACGCUCUGUUUACACAUCCACUCACACCUGUGCACCCUCUGUAGUUCUGUGGAUCGGGAGACGUCGUCUUCCUUCUGCGGCUCUACUUCUUUACACACACACUGUAGCGAAGUCUCAUGGAAUGUUUUUUCGCGUUUAACGCAAUACAAUACAACUUUCAGCAACGGAUCUCUUGGCUCUCGCAUCGAUGAAGAACGCAGCGAAAUGCGAUAAGUAAUGUGAAUUGCAGAAUUCAGUGAAUCAUCGAAUCUUUGAACGCACCUUGCGCCCCUUGGUUAUUCCUCGGGGCAUGCCUGUUUGAGUAUCAUGAACAUCUCAACUCUCAUGGUCUUCCGUGAUGAGCUUGGACUUUGGGGGUUUGCUGGCCCUGUGGCCGGCUCCUCUCAAAUGGAUCAGCUUGCCAGUGUUUGGCGGCGUCACGGGUGUGAUAACUAUCUACGCCCGCGGCCGUCUGUCAGGUAACCCUCAGCGAUGAAGGUUCAUUGGGGCUCACAAAUGUCUCUCCCCGGCGAGGACAACUUUUGAACGUUCGAUCUCAAAUCAGGUAGGACUACCCGCUGAACUUAAGCAUAUCAAUAAAGCGGAGGAAAAAGAAAACUAACAAGGAUUCCCCUARUAACUGCRAGUGAAGCGGGAARAGCUCAAAUUUAAAAAUCUGGGCGUGCCUUUGGUCGUCCRAAUUGUAGUCUGGRARAARCGUUUUUCGGC
rnacentral:rRNA from 1 species